rnacentral:tRNA from 1 species
GCCUUGGUAGCUCAGUCGGUAGAGCAGAGGACUGAAAAUCCUCGUGUCG